rnacentral:lncRNA from 1 species
GAUUUGUUGCAAGAUUCAGAUUUAGUCUGCUUGAGGAGGUAGGGGAGCCGGUUCCUGUGGUUGUCAAUGUCUCUGCCGUGGCGGAUCUGCAAGUGGCAUUGCAGGCGGAGCGGGAGGCAGCGCAACGGCGGUGGACAGCGGCGAAGCACAAAUCUUCUUGGCAAAGGAGGCGGCGGCGAACAGAAGGGAGAGCUCGCCACCAAGGUCGGAGCUGUCGACGGGGAAGAUGAAUCCCCAAGCACCGGGGUGGAACAAAAGGUUCGUGAAGUAGAAACUUUGCCUUCCAUUCGAUAUUCUGUGACUUAGAAAAUGGAAGUAGAAAUGACUGAAUAUAUCAUGCAGUUAGAGCAAGUGCAGGUUGCUGUCUGCAUUAAUAAAUUUCCUGCUGUAUGUGCCUGUGUUUGCACACUGAUUUGUUCUCUGCAUUCACAAAAUUCAGGCGCCUGUAGUCUCUGAAAGUACGGAUGCAGGCUAAUUACUCUCUGUAGUGAAAAGAUUUCUGAUUUAUGUACUGGUGGUUGCAGACUGUUUGCUCCCUGUAUUUAGAUAAUUUUUACUAUACGAGAGCCUAUGUUUUCAGGCUGGUUGAUCUCUGCAGUAAGGAAAUUACUAAAUUAUGUACUGGUGUUUGUAGUAUGUUUGGUGUAUGCAUUUUGAAAAUUCAUAGAUAUGUGCCUGUGUUGGUAGGCUGAUUGCUCCCUGUGAUUAGAAAAAAUCAUGCUAUAUUUGCCUUUGUUUUGUAUGUUGAUGAUUGCUUUAUAGGUAAGAUCGAUGAACAAAAUCCAUCUUCUUACUCUGCAUAUAUAUGCAUAUUUUUUAUUUACUAAAGGUGGAGAGGCGUCCCAAUGAUAGCCACAACAAGUUCAGGAAGAAUCUUGAAGCACCUUCUGUCAAGGAUUUGAACUUUUGAAGCCAUCUCUGUUCUCUUUCGGCUCCGCUUGAUGGAUGACCAAAAGUAGCUUUAUAUCCCCAUGAAAGUCUCGAAUGUUCCAGUAAGUAUUGUUCAUGUACAUUAUGAAAAUGCUAUUCGGUUGAGUCAUGUUUUUAUUCUGUCAAAUGAUGAUUUUUUUAGUAUAGUCGACAGUAAAAAGUUUAAACCCAUUAGAGAUUAUUAAACAAAUGUUCACCUGAAAACAGAUUGUGAGGGUUUGAUUGAGAUAUGGAAAAGCCACAAGAAGAAUCGUGCUUCUGUUCUACCUAUUCUCCUUGAAAUCCAAGA